UUGGAAAUCUUUCAUGAAUCUUUUAAUAACUUCCUUACAUACAUCUUGUUCCAUUAAAGCCCCAAAUUUGGCUUUGUCAGCUCUCUUUCUUCAUAAUCUUUAGGAUUUGUUCAUGUGUGGAUGUGAUGGAACUGAAGUCGCUAGGUUCAUGCUACCUGGAACAUGAGACUGACAAAUAGAGGAGCACUGAGUCAAAUGAAUCUCGGAGAAAUGGAGCUGGAAGAAAACUGGAGAAUGAAAGAAAAGAUAUACGCAAAGUGGAUUCUAAUCAUAGGU
rnacentral:lncRNA from 10 species